rnacentral:rRNA from 1 species
GUGGGGAAUAUUGGACAAUGGGCGAAAGCCUGAUCCAGCAAUGCCGCGUGAGUGAUGAAGGCCCUAGGGUUGUAAAGCUCUUUUACCCGGGAUGAUAAUGACAGUACCGGGAGAAUAAGCUCCGGCUAACUUCGUGCCAGCAGCCGCGGUAAUACGAGGGGAGCUAGCGUUGUUCGGAAUUACUGGGCGUAAAGCGCGCGUAGGCGGUUUUUUAAGUCAGAGGUGAAAGCCCGGGGCUCAACCCCGGAAUUGCCUUUGAAACUGGAAAACUAGAAUCUUGGAGAGGUCAGUGGAAUUCCGAGUGUAGAGGUGAAAUUCGUAGAUAUUCGGAAGAACACCAGUGGCGAAGGCGACUGACUGGACAAGUAUUGACGCUGAGGUGCGAAAGCGUGGGGAGCAAACAGGAUUAGAAACCCGAGUAGUCC